rnacentral:rRNA from 1 species
AGAGUUUGAUCCUGGCUCAGAUUGAACGCUGGCGGCAUGCCUUACACAUGCAAGUCGAACGGCAGCACGGACUUCGGUCUGGUGGCGAGUGGCGAACGGGUGAGUAAUACAUCGGAACGUACCCUGUUGUGGGGGAUAACUAGUCGAAAGAUUAGCUAAUACCGCAUACGACCUGAGGGUGAAAGUGGGGGACCGUAAGGCCUCACGCAGCAGGAGCGGCCGAUGUCUGAUUAGCUAGUUGGUGGGGUAAAGGCCCACCAAGGCGACGAUCAGUAGCUGGUCUGAGAGGACGAUCAGCCACACUGGGACUGAGACACGGCCCAGACUCCUACGGGAGGCAGCAGUGGGGAAUUUUGGACAAUGGGGGCAACCCUGAUCCAGCAAUGCCGCGUGUGUGAAGAAGGCCUUCGGGUUGUAAAGCACUUUUGUCCGGAAAGAAAUCGCUUCGGUUAAUACCUGGGGUGGAUGACGGUACCGGAAGAAUAAGCACCGGCUAACUACGUGCCAGCAGCCGCGGUAAUACGUAGGGUGCGAGCGUUAAUCGGAAUUACUGGGCGUAAAGCGUGCGCAGGCGGUUUUGUAAGACAGGCGUGAA